AAAAGUCGUCGAAUAGCCGUCGAAAUCGUUCGACCACGUCCGAGAUUUUGCUCGUUAGCGAUCGGAUUCGGGAUCAUAGAAGUUGAAGUCAACCACACUAUCAAAGCCCUUUUUGGUACUCCUUUAGUUGAGUUUUGGAUAUGGCAUGUAUAGGACCACCCUCGGUUGUUUUAAGUACUUUGUGAUGUAUAUGUGUGCGGCCAUGCGAAAAUGGUUCGUAAAAGUGGAGUAUGGAAUUUGACCAUAUGUGGUUUGUAAUUAUAUUUGGUUUCAUGA